GGGAAUAACAGCUCAGUGGUAAAGUGUAUGCUUAGCAUGCACAAGGUCCUGGGUUCAAUCCCCAGUACCUCCA
rfam:Camelus ferus unplaced genomic scaffold scaffold2050, whole genome shotgun sequence.